rnacentral:tRNA from 1 species
UCUCUGGUGGUCCAGUGGUUAAGAACCUGCAUUUCCACUGCAGCGGGCCUGAGUUUGAUUCCUGGUCAGGGAA